rnacentral:rRNA from 1 species
UAUUAGUCUAAAAUAAGAUUGGAGACUACGAGCAAUAGCUUAAAAACCUAAGAAUUUGGCGGUGUUUUAUUCAAUCAGGGGGACCUGUAUCUCAAAUCGAUAGUCCACGUUAAACUCCACCUAAUUUUAAUACUUAUAGUUUGUGUACUGCCGUUUAAUAAGCCCUCAAGGCUUAUUUAUAAAUAAUAAGAUUAUAUUACAAGUCAGGUCAAAGUGCAGCUUACAAUUAGGUAAGAUAUGGGUAGUAUGUUUAAAAAUAUUAUAAAUUUAUAAAUUAAUUUUAUAGAAUUUUAGGACUUGAUAGUAAUUAUAAAUUUAUUUUUAUUAUAAUGAAUAUGAACUUAAAGCGAGU